rnacentral:rRNA from 1 species
AUGAAUACUAGUGUUCGAGAUUCAGUUUUGCAUUGUGAUGAUUCUUUUGUGGAUGAACCAGAGCUGCAGUUAGUUACCUUUGAUACUGAGGAGUCACCUGUGGUUGAUAUAAAUCAUGUGCUGCCUGAACCAGACAUGGAGAAGUUCACCUUUGAUGACAUUAGCCACAUCGAUUCCUCAACACUUGAGCCUGAGAUGGAAACCUUCAUUGUUGAUUAUGAUGAGGUUGCUCUAGAUGUCAAGAAGCCAAGCUCUAAUAUUUCACUUGUUGACACGAGUCCGGUUGAAAUUUCUACUAUCACACCUCACUUGGUAUCUUCAAUUGAGGUAGUCCUGAAGCUUCUUCCUAACUAUCUCAGGUUGAUGCUUGUGUACCAUUUACUGCGAGUUAACCGAGUUCGAGAUGACAUUCCCUGGGAUCCUGGUGGAUUCACGGCAUGGUGA